UAUUCAGUUUCGACUUGGUAACCCGUGCUGGUACACAUAAUUUUCAACAAGAUGUAAUCUUUUCGAAGAAGUCGUUGUUUUCGACCAAAUUUAAGAAGCAAGCAACAAAAUUUUAAAGAAACAAAAACAUCAAGAGUAAUUUCGUCAACACCACUUAAAGUGGUAAACACUGGGAACAAGAGUAGGAGUUGGAAUAGAGCAAGGAAUGUAAGUCCGUUUCUGGUUGUCCUUCCUGAGGGUGCCAGUUUCAUCUGAGGUCCCAAGCCGACUGAGCUCCUGAGAUGCCGACGACGUCUAGACGUCCUGCAGGAGGAGCGGGACCGUCGCCGCCACCACACGCGUCGAGUCGUCCUGCGCAGGACCUUACGCGACCGGAGGAUCCCGUAGGAGUAAAGUUAAGACGCGGGCAUAAGGAUAUCCUUAGGGAAGACGACGGCCAAGCGGGAACCGGCCGACGACUGACUCAGGAAGACGUCCUGAACGUCCAGAGGGGCGCCGGCGUAUCCCCACCACCAUAACCACGCCCCCCACGGAGGGGCACAUUCUCAUCCCUUCAAGGAUAUUUUUAAGUAAGGACUAAGAUUUUUCAAGAACGAAUUCGCCAUCCCCACCAUCACCAACGUCGGGACGCCGAAACCGACGCCGUCGCCGACGAUUGCCACCCCCCCACCGAUCCCUCUUUCCCUUUCAAGUUUUCAACCCCCAUCAGGAUUUAUCCUUGCUCAAUUUACAACACUUUACACAUACACAUAUUAUGGAUUAACGAUUUUUUUAACUUUUUUCAUUUAAUUGAUCAGAUUGAAAUUUCUUAUACAUAUAAAAUUAAUCUCUUUAAACCGAUACUCGUUAGAACAAGUCGAAAUUGAAAAAUUAAACAACAUAACACUAUUUGAGAUGUUAAUUUUAAAUUGAAAUUUGGUGAGUUUGCAAAUGAAUGAUUUAAAACGAUUUUUUUAUAAAGUUCGAUGAAAUAGUUUUAACGAUUCCAACAAUUUGAAUGCAAUCCACAUCAAACAUACAGGGGAGAUUAAAAUAUUAUCCACAACAAAACUAAUUUUAAAAUUUUUUGUUCAAAUACCACAAAAUUUCUCUUAGAACUCUAAAAAGAUUUAAUCGAAAUGUUAGAGGGUUGAAAAUGAAAUAAUUAAAUUAAAAUAACCGAGAGAAAUUUAUGUAAGAUAAAAUUAAAACUAAAAGUGGGUUUGAAAGAUUAAUUAUAAAAGUGGAAAAAAUUAUAGUUCUAAUAUUUAGAUUUGACGAAAUGAAUACCUCAUCAACUAUCUUAUUAUUAAAAAGGACGAUUACACAAAGAAAUGUAUGUAUCAUAAUGAAAAGAAGAUUUUUAAAAAUAAGUAAACUCACCAAAUACAAAAAAUUCUAACUUCCGCUCUAAGUCCCAUUUCAAAUUGACCAAAAAAUUAACUUUCUAACAACUUGAUGAAAUAAAAAUAUAAAAAAAUAAAGUCCUCAAUUAAUAAAAAUUCAAAAAAGUCAAAAAAGAAAGAAAUUAAAGAUGUAAGUUCCAAAACAAUAGAAGGAGUUUGAUAAUAAAAGAAGGAAUUAAAAAAAAAACAAUUUUCUCAAAACAAAAAGAUGUCCGCGAUAGAUAACCGGAAUAACGGUGACAGAAAAAAGACAAUAUCAGGGCCCCAAGUCAACCGGCUAAUCAAAAUUGAAUUGGAAUCGAAUCAUUUCCCCCACCGACCGCCCUCCGAUCAACGAUAUCGAACGAAAGUUCGCUUUUCUCUGUGUUGUUUUUUAUCGUGUUCGAUGUACCUGACCUCUGCUAAAUAAUAACAGAAAAAAAACCUAAUAAAUAGUGGAAAAAAUGCGACGGCGCACACGCGUAGUACGCCGAUUUUUUUUUGAUUUUAUUUUUUAACACCCGCCGGAUUUUUAUUGGAAACAAACCCCUAAAAUGUUUUUAAAAAUAAAUCGGUUAAAAAUUUUUUUUUGGCGGUUUUACCAAGUCGAUUCUCGUAUUAUAAAUAUUUAUUAGAAGUUUCAAUUGUGGCUUUGCACUUUUUAAAACGAAAUAUGUAAUUUUUUGGCGAAUUUAAUAAUUUUUUGGCGAUUUAAAACAAAAAAAAAAAGAAAUGUUUCGAUUUGUUUCUGUGUACUUACGUUUUUUUAUUAAUUACUAAUAAUUGUUAACGAAUCCCAAUAAAACUUGAACAAACUUAAAAAAUAA
rnacentral:lncRNA from 1 species